UGUAAAAAAAUGUAUUGCAAGAAUCUUCAGUCAACCUCAUUCCUUUGCUAGAAGCAGAGAAAAGCUUGUCCUAACCUAGCCUACUUUGUGACACUGUGGUCUAACUUGUCCAUCUUUCAGAUUUUUAGCACAUUGACCUUGACUGUCAUUGACUCAUCUUUCCAGCUUGGGAAAA